rnacentral:tRNA from 1 species
GGAGAUUUAGCUCAGCUGGGAGAGCAUUCGCCUUACAAGCGACAGGUCGUAGGUUCGAUCCCUACAAUCUCCACCA